CUUGCUUGUCUCCUGCUCCGAUGUUGCUGUUGUGACGGCGCAGGACACUGAGCGGAUCGUAGGUACGCUGCGCGGACAUGCUCCCUCCUCCUCUGAUUGGAUUAUGCAUUGCCUAUGGCCGUCAGUUAGGAUGGAUUUCGUUGAUCUGACAAGUCUGUGCUUCUCCGCACGGUUUGGUAGUUCCGAAUUGUGAUGGAUCCGGUUUGCAUUGGGAAUCAAUCCUAUGGAACCUUGGGAAGAAGAACGGGUAGCUGAGAUCUACCACUAGCUGCGCAGGGAGGUGCUGGUGGUGCAGGGGCCAUCCUUGCGAGGCCAUGCAGGUGCCCCUCACUCCGCAAGACCUGUAGUAGAAGAGAGACCUGGAGAUCAGGAGGAGGAGCGUCACAUUCUUCCUGGCAACAAUGAUCUGAACCACAUUACCAGAAGUCCAGAACCAAAGACUUCUGUAUGGAACUGUUUGCUGAUAGUAUGAUACAGCAUUGAAGCAGUGAUUUUGUGAAAGAUGCUAUAAUAUGUGCACCAGUGCGUUGCAUAUUCUCACUGGAAUUGCAAAUUUGGGUAGGAGAUAAUUGUUUGUGUGAAUCAUUGCUUAAAACCCCCCUUAUCUGUGACGGCAGAAAUCUUUUGGGCGGAAAUAAAUCAAAGCUAUGUAACGCUGCUCUACCUCUGUUACUUUCACUUCUCUGUGCGCACAUUAAAAUUAGAAAUGUGAACUGGAUUUUUCGUUGUGCUUGACACCAUUGAAGCUUAGGUUCGUAAUUUCUUUCACAGUUGAUGGACGAUCCACAGUUAGUGGGAACAUUUCUGGCGUGUUAGUUGCAGUGGAAUACCUUACCAUGAUUAUAAGGGGUUUCGCCACAAGGAUCUAGGCGGACUUAAGAGUUGGAGACAGGCCACAAGACUCAACAACUUCAAAUGAUUCCACGUCCUGGUCCUCCGGCAGCUCCCAGUCAAAAUGGUAUAGCAAAUUGGCCAGUGCAAGCUCAACGAGGCGCGUCGCGAACGCAAUGGCAGGGCAUCCCCUCCUCCCCGCACUGAACGGGAUGUCGUAGCCGUGGAGUUUGGUGUCCCGGAUCGUUUCUCGGGGGAGAAGUAUUGGCACCGGUGCAUGCAACCGCAUGGCUUCUUUCAGGGACGCCUGCAGUCUGCUCAUCGUCCCCAGCUGCUCCUCUAGGACUCCUCGUGCCCCCGCAACUUGUCUCACCUCCGCUUGUACUUUCUCCAUCUCUUUUGGGUUCUUGAUUAGCUCGGCCAUUGCCCACUCUACCGACUUGGAAGUUGUAUCGGUUCCUGCAAUAAACAUGUCCUGCAGCAAGAAAUUUACAUCAGUAUAAACAUUAACGCCA